rnacentral:rRNA from 1 species
UUUGUUGUACCUGAAGUCGUGGGCGCCAACCGCAAGGAGGCAGACGCCCACGGUAUGACCGAUGAUUGGGGUGAAGUCGUAACAAGGUAGCUGUAGGUGAACCUGCAGAAGGAUCA